rnacentral:rRNA from 1 species
UACGAAGGGGGCUAGCGUUGUUCGGAAUCACUGGGCGUAAAGGGCGCGUAGGCGGCCUGUUAAGUCGAACGUGAAAUCUCCGGGCUCAACCCGGGAACUGCGUCCGAUACUGGCAGGCUUGAGUCCGGGAGAGGGAUGCGGAAUUCCAGGUGUAGCGGUGAAAUGCGUAGAUAUCUGGAGGAACACCGGUGGCGAAGGCGGCAUCCUGGACCGGCAUUGACGCUGAGGCGCGAAAGCCUGGGGAGCAAACGGG